AUUGAACGCUGGCGGCAUGCCUUACACAUGCAAGUCGAACGGUAACGGGUCCUUCGGGAUGCCGACGAGUGGCGAACGGGUGAGUAAUAUAUCGGAACGUGCCCAGUAGUGGGGGAUAACUGCUCGAAAGAGCAGCUAAUACCGCAUACGACCUGAGGGUGAAAGGGGGGGAUCGCAAGACCUCUCGCUAUUGGAGCGGCCGAUAUCAGAUUAGCUAGUUGGUGGGGUAAAGGCCUACCAAGGCAACGAUCUGUAGUUGGUCUGAGAGGACGACCAGCCACACUGGGACUGAGACACGGCCCAGACUCCUACGGGAGGCAGCAGUGGGGAAUUUUGGACAAUGGGCGCAAGCCUGAUCCAGCAAUGCCGCGUGCAGGAAGAAGGCCUUCGGGUUGUAAACUCCUUUUGUCAGGGAAGAAAUCUUCUGGGCUAAUACCCCGGGAGGAUGACGGUACCUGAAGAAUAAGCACCGGCUAACUACGUGCCAGCAGCCGCGGUAAUACGUAGGGUGCGAGCGUUAAUCGGAAUUACUGGGCGUAAGGCGUGCGCAGGCGGCUUUGCAAGACAGAUGUGAAAUCCCCGGGCUCAACCUGGGAACUGCAUUUGUGACUGCAAGGCUAGAGUACGGCAGAGGGGGAUGGAAUUCCGCGUGUAGCAGUGAAAUGCGUAGAUAUGCGGAGGAACACCAAUGGCGAAGGCAAUCCCCUGGGCCUGUACUGACGCUCAUGCACGAAAGCGUGGGGAGCAAACAGGAUUAGAUACCCUGGUAGUCCACGCCCUAAACGAUGUCAACUGGUUGUUGGACGGCUUGCUGUUCAGUAACGAAGCUAACGCGUGAAGUUGACCGCCUGGGGAGUACGGCCGCAAGGUCGAAACUCAAAGGAAUUGACGGGGACCCGCACAAGCGGUGGAUGAUGUGGUUUAAUUCGAUGCAACGCGAAAAACCUUACCUACCCUUGACAUGUCAAGAAUUCUGCAGAGAUGUGGAAGUGCUCGAAAGAGAACUUGAACACAGGUGCUGCAUGGCCGUCGUCAGCUCGUGUCGUGAGAUGUUGGGUUAAGUCCCGCAACGAGCGCAACCCUUGUCAUUAGUUGCUACGCAAGAGCACUCUAAUGAGACUGCCGGUGACAAACCGGAGGAAGGUGGGGAUGACGUCAGGUCCUCAUGGCCCUUAUGGGUAGGGCUACACACGCCAUACAAUGGCCGGUACAGAGGGCUGCCAACCCGCGAGGGGGAGCCAAUCCCAGAAAACCGGUCGUAGUCCGGAUCGUAGUCUGCAACUCGACUGCGUGAAGUCGGAAUCGCUAGUAAUCGCGGAUCAGCUUGCCGCGGUGAAUACGUUCCCGGGUCU
rnacentral:rRNA from 1 species